GCUGCUUCCAAAGGCUCACACGACCUCAGAGAAAUCCCACAGCGGACAGAGACAAGGACGUGUGCCCCUCAACAGACACGUGGACAGACAGACAGAGGCGGACCGCACAGCACUGAGUGGACAAACAGAAGCCAAUGACGGGGGUCGCCCUUGGACACCAAGCCUGAAGCUGGCAUCCGAAAAGGGAAAUUCCCAGCCAUGGGCCCUGGGGCCAGAUUUCCAAGACUCAUAACUGCUCAGUUCCUGUUUUGUUGGAUGCCGAUGAGGUUGCCCAGCUGAGGAGAGACAGGUCCUCAGUUUUUCUGGUGUCAGCGGCUGUCAUCUCGGACUAAAUCCAAUUUUCUGCAUGGGGUGCUGAAGGAAGAGGCCUCUGCUCUAUAUCUGAAGCAAAAAGCUGGAUUCAUCGUUUGCAAGGCAGUGAACACGGCAGACUGCGGAUCUCCUGUGGAGUAUUUGGGAAGUGUGGGGCUGGGGAUUAGACGACUCUUCACAGCGGGAGUAUUCAAGCAUUAAGUGACCUUUAGCGAAGGCAGCUUGGCCACCGGAGCAAGGCUGUUGCUGAUUGGCCCUCAGAAGCAUGUGUACUGACCAGAGGAAGCUGUCCUCGGGACUCCUGGUUACUUGUUCCAGUGGCCAAAGAACAGUGAGUCUUUUCUUGAAAGGGAGGAUAGGAACUGUUCUCGGUAGGAUCCCUUUUUUAUUUAAAUGUCAAAUAAUCCAGCUCAGAGAUUUUCAAACUUUACCAUGAAUCAAAUCCGAUCACCCAGAGGGCUUGUUAGAGCAGACUGUUGGGCCCCUCUCCUGCAGAGUGUCUGAUUAGGUAGGUCUGGGAUGGGAGCCAAGAAUCUGCACUUCUAAUGAGUUCCCAGGUGAUGCUGAUGCUCUGGUCCAGGGACCACACUUUGAGAACCACUGGUCCAGUAUCAUCGGAGUUGUAGUUAAUUAUUUGCUGUUAAGAAAAUAUCUAGGGGCUUCCCUGGUGGCACAGUGGUUGAGAAUCUGCCUGCCAAUGCAGGGGACACGUGUUCGAGCCCUGGUCUGGGAGGAUCCCACAUGCCGUGGAGCAACUAGGCCCGUGAGCCACAACUACCGAGCCUGUGCGUCUGGAGCCUGUGCUCCGCAACAAGAGAGGCCGCGACAGCGAGAGGCCCGCGCACCACGAUGAAGAGUGGCCCCUGCUCGCCGCAACUAGAGAAAGCCCUCGCACAGAAACGAAGACCCAACACAGCCAAAAAUAAAUAAAUAAAUAAAUAUUUAAAAAAAAAAAAAAAAGAAAAAAUAUUUAGGGAAUUCCCUGAUGAUCCGGUGGUUAGGGCUCCGUGCUUCCAAUGCUGGGGUCCUGGGUUCAAUCUCUGGUCGGGGAAGUAAGAUCCCGCAAGUUGUGCAGCGUGGCCAGAAAAAAAAAAAAAAAAAGAAAUAUAUAUAUAUAUAUAUUUAACACAAUAAGUUACUGAUGAGUCUAAGAAUUCUGUAAAUGAUUUUGUAAAAUGGUUAUUAAUCACAGCCACAUCUAUAUACAUUUGAAAAAUAAUGGUAAAUACAUAGGAGAAAGAUAAUACUCCUUCUAAAGUUAAUGACUAGAAAAUAUGAAUUCCAGGACAUAUUGUAGUAAUUCUGUCCUGUCCUUCUCCUCCUCUUCCUUUCCCAACUUCCGCCUCAGAAUGUGUGACCCAUCCCGUCCUGGGGAAUCCUAGACCAGGUACUUCCCAAGGAUCCUCCCAGGUUUGUGAUUCUAUGUUUGUGGCAGAUCGUGGUUUAACACAUGAAUUUCUGGUCAAGGUAUGAGCCAUGUUAGUAAAGUGAUGUAAACUGAAAAUACAGGAGGCAAGGAAGUUUACAAGACAAUUGGGAGAGGAAGAGAGAGAGAGGAAGAAGAAGAAAGAAAGAGAGAGAGAGGCUGGCUGCCUUUAGAAAUUCUCCUUCGUAUCACCAAGGAAAACUGUCCAUCUUUGUAUCAGUGUAAGUGCUGGGUGAUAUCAGAUUGUUGUGGUUCGUUGAAGAUAAACCAUGUUGCAGGCAGGACACACACUGUCCUCAGAAGGAAAGUUUGGCACGCCCCUGCGUUUCUACUGUGACAGUCUGAGGUAGGGCCAUUGCAUGUAAAUGAAUGGAAGAGAAAUGGAAACACUCUGUGUUUCUGAAGAAAAUUUUUACAAGGAAAAUUCUGAUUAAACAAAAAAACCCCAAGGGAUACUAGGACACACAAAAGCCAUGGCUCUGCGUGAUACAGUGCCGGGAGUGAAUGCUGCCAUUUUCCCAUGUCUUGCCAAGAAGCUUUUACUAAUGGGUUCAUUGGAAAAUCCUUUCAGUAGAGACCACAAUGUUCUGUUUCUACAAGUGCUAAUAGCUAGUAUUUUUAUUGAGAGCUCAGUAUGUUCUAGGCUCAUACAAUCCUCACCUAAGUAUUAUGAGGUAAGUACUAAGUCACCCUUAUUUUACAGGUGAGGAAACUGAGACACAGAGAGGUCACAUUGCGUCCCUGUGACACACAGGGAGUAGCCAGUGGAGCUGAGAUUCAAGCGCAGGCAGAGGGACUCCCCAGAUGCAUGUUGAACUGCUAGGUCAUAAUCCUCUCAAAAGCCUAAAGAUUCGACCCCCUUAAUCACUUCCUCGGCUUGUUUGUUGUUUCCUUUAGAACACGUUAUGAGUUGAUUUUUUCAUCUGUUCACCUGUUAUUGUCUGCUUCUCCUCCUAGCAUAUAAGCUGCGAGAGGAUAGGGGCUUUGUUCACUGCUGCAUCCCCAGAAUCAAGUGCUUGGGCUCAUAAACAUUUGUGGAAGGAAGGAAGGAAGGAAGAGAGGGAGGGAGGGAGGGAAUUCUGAGUAUCAGUCAGCUUGAUAGAUGAGGUCUGAUUAAAGGAAUGCCUGUUAUAUUUUGUUAUUUUCUAUCGACCGCUAAUUAUGCACCGAGCGGUCUUGUUUUUAAAGAAAAACCCAUCUGUGUCUUGCGCUGAAAAGAACAGAGGUCAUCUUUAAGGUGACAGCAGGCAGUGCAUAGGGCAAAGCACUGCCCAGCUACAUCCAUCUGCCCUUUUUUUUUU